AGUGUGGGCUCCGUGAUAUCCCGUGGUAGCUUUGCCAUCAGCCUCCUCCUUGGUCUCCCUGCCUUCCAGUUCUGGCCACCCAGUCCCUCCUCCACAUCAGCAGCCAGAAACUUCUCCUAAAACACAUUAUUGUCUUUUUAACACCUGCCAAUGAAAUCCUGGUAUCCCAUUGCCCUUUGGAUAAAGGGCAAACUCCCUAACAGGUCACCAGGCCUGCUGGGCUGACUGCUCUCCUGGCUGCUCCAGCCAAACAGGACCCACUUCACACUCCUCUGAACAGGCCCUGGGCUGGGCUUUCUCAACUCUGGACCUUUGCACCCACUGCCAACUCAGCCUACCACUAUCUCUCUCCUCCAUCCCUCUCUGCCGACUAAAGUUCUGCCACCCUCAAAGGCCCAGCUUCAUGGAGGGCCUUUUCACCGACCCAGGAGUACCUUGGAUGAAAGUGCUUGGUGUUCCUGACUCUCUUCCCUACUGAGCAGCGUGAGCUUCGGUGUAUCCUUCCCUCUGUGCUCAGCACAGAACCUGACAUCCUGGGGAGGUUUUGUAAGCAUGGGCUGGGAGCCUCUAAGCCUCCAUUCACCAACCCCUCUCUCCUGGCUCUGGCCCUUGAUCUGGCCUGGAUUCACUUCAGCAACAGCAGCAGCUCCAGGAUGGUCUGGAAUGUCAACUGUGACGACUAGAGCUUGAGCAGCCAUCCUGGAUAAUGAGCAGAAGCCUCAUGCUGAGGACGGCAGAAGAUGCAGCUCUCGGUAGCCUGGCAUAGGAGCAGAGACAGGAGUCAGUUGGGUCUGACUUUAGGAUGAGAAGAAGAGAUGGUGUCCACAAAAGAAAUGCCAGUCCUAUUUCCAGAAUUUAUAAACACCUCCUACAUCUCAAUAUCAAAAAAACAAACAACCUCAUCGAUAAAUGGGCAGAAGA